rnacentral:tRNA from 2 species
GGGCCCGUAGCUUAGCCUGGUAGAGCGCCCGGCUCAUAACCGGGCGGCCAAGGGUUCAAAUCCCUUCGGGCCCA